rnacentral:rRNA from 1 species
GACGAACGCUGGCGGCGUGCUUAACACAUGCAAGUCGAACGGAAAGGCCCUGCUUGUGUGUGGUGCUCGAGUGGCGAACGUGUGAGUUACACGUGAGUAACCUGCCCUGGACGUUGUGAUAACUUCAGGAAACUGGUGCUAAUACCGGAUAGCAGCUCCUGCUGCAUGGUGGGGGUCGGAAAGUUUCGGCGGUUGGGGAUGGACUCGCGGUUUAUGAGCUUGUGGGGUGGGUAGUUGCUUACCAAGGCUUCGACGGCUGGCCGGCCUGAGAGGGGGAACGGCCACAUUGGGACUGCGAUACGGACCAGACUCGUACGGGAGGCAGCAGUGGGGAAUAUUGUACAAUGGGCGGAAGCCUGAUGCAGCAACGCCGCGUGCGGGAUGACGGCCUUGGGGUUGUAAACCGCAUUCGCCUGUGACGAAGCGUGAGUGACGGUAAUGGGUAAAGAAGCACCGGCUAACUACGUG